GCAGCCCUAACUCUGGAAAGAUCUUUUUUACCCCUUCAUUUUGCAUUUCAGAAACAAGGUGGAUAAUAUAUUCCAGGGCAUGUUGUAUGUCAGAAAAAUAUAGUAAUAGUUAAUCAUCAGUUUACCUUUUUCUUCA